AAUGAACGUUGGCGGCGUGGAUUAGGCAUGCAAGUCGUGCGAGAAGUGUUUGUUGCUUGCAAUGAACACGGACAGCGGCGAAAGGGAGAGUAACGCGUGGUUACGUGCCCCGAGGACCGGGAUAGCGUCGGGAAACUGGCGGUAAUACCGGAUAAUAUCCUUGGAUCAAAUGGUGUGAUUCCGCCUUGGGAUCGGACCGCGUACUAUUAGCUUGUUGGCGGGGUAAUGGCCCACCAAGGCUGCGAUGGUUACCGGGUGUGAGAGCAUGGCCCGGCUCACUGGGACUGAGACACUGCCCAGACAUCUACGGAUGGCUGCAGUCGAGAAUCUUCGGCAAUGGACGAAAGUCUGACCGAGCGACGCCGCGUGCGGGAUGAAGGCCCUCGGGUUGUAAACCGCUGUCAGUUAGGAGGAAAUCCAUGAGGGUUCUCUCUCAUGGUUGACCGAUUUUCAGAGGAAGGACGGGCUAAGUUCGUG
rnacentral:rRNA from 1 species